rnacentral:rRNA from 1 species
CUGAGGUGCGAAAGCGUGGGAAACAAACAGGAUUAGAUAGCCUGGUAGUCCACUCUGUAUACGAUGUUGACCAGACGUUGGGUGCCUAGCGCACUUUGUGCCGAAGUUUACGCGAUAAGUCGACGACGUGGGGAGUACGGCCACAAGGUUAAAACUCAAAUGAAUUGACGGGGGCCCGCACAACCGGUGGAGCAUGUGGUUUAAUUAGAUGCAACGCGAAGAACCUUACCUACUCUUGACAUCCUGGGAAUUAGUGAAAGAUCCCUUGGUGCUUUCGGGAACGCAGAGUCAUUUGGUGCAUGUCUGUCGUCAUCUCGUGUUGUGAAAUGUGGGGUUAAGUCCCGAAACGAGGGCAUCCCUUGUCCUUAUUGCACGGCAGGAAAUGGUGGGAACUCUAAGGAGACUGCCGGUCACAAACCGGAGGAAGGGGGGGACGGGGUCAAGUUCUCAUGGCCCGUGGGAGUAGGUCUACACAGACCAUACAAGGACCGGUACAAAGGUGACCCAACUCCUCAGAGUGAAGUAAUCCCGAAAAGCCUCAUCAGUAGGGGGCGGAGUAGCCCCUCGAUUCCGUAGGACGGAAUGGUAAUAGCUCGUGUUUCAGAAGGUUAUGGCGAAUACGUUGGGCAGCUUUGUACACACCGUCCGUAACACCACGGGAGUCGAC